rnacentral:rRNA from 1 species
UUAAACCAGGGUUAGAUACCCUGUUAUACCAAAGUUAAAAUGACAGUGAUCUUGAGUAGUAACAAUUAAUUAGUUCGAAAUUCAAAGAGUUUGGCGGUAUUCUAGUCUAGUUAGAGGAACCUGUUUCAUAAACGAUAUUCCGCGUAAAAUUUCUCUCAUUUUGGCUAGAGCUAGUAUACCAUCAUUAUUAGAUAAUUUUAUUUUCUAAAGAAAUUAUUGUAAUUGGGUAACUCCAAAUAUAUUAGAUCACGGUGCUGCUGAUAGGUGAGUGCAAAUGGGUUACAAUAAUCUUAAUUUAUUACGGACUUGUGGCUGAAAAUAUCACAAGGAAGGUGGAUUUGAUAGUAAUACAAAUUUAGUAUGUUUAUAUGAGAUCAGCUCUAGAAUAUGUACAUAUCGGCCGUCGCAA